AUGGAAUGGGUUAGAAUUGACCAUCUGAAUGACAAGUACAAUAGUCACAACUUAGAUUUGUAUAUGGAAUGGGUUAGAAUUGACCAUCUGAAUGACAAGUACAACAGUCACAACUUAUAUUUGUAUAUGACAAAUUCAGCAACAAAAUAUUUGUUAUUAUUUAUUUCUAA